rnacentral:rRNA from 1 species
GAAUGCACUAGUGAUUCAGGCCUAACACAUGCAAGUCGAGCGGGGUUUUCGGACCUAGCGGCGGACGGGUGAGUAAUGCGUAGGAAGCUGCCCGAUAGAGGGGGAUACCAGUUGGAAACGACUGUUAAUACCGCAUAAUGUCUACGGACCAAAGUGUGGGACCUUCGGGCCACAUGCUAUCGGAUGCGCCUACGUGGGAUUAGCUAGUUGGUGAGGUAAUGGCUCACCAAGGCGACGAUCUCUAGCUGGUUUGAGAGGAUGAUCAGCCACACUGGAACUGAGACACGGUCCAGACUCCUACGGGAGGCAGCAGUGGGGAAUAUUGGACAAUGGGCGCAAGCCUGAUCCAUCAAGGCCGCGUGUGUGAAGAAGGCCUUCGGGUGACAUUUAAAGGGGCGAGGAGGAAGGGAUGUAUGCUAAUAGCAUGCA